rnacentral:rRNA from 1 species
UGGGGAAUAUUGCACAAUGGGCGCAAGCCUGAUGCAGCCAUGCCGCGUGUAUGAAGAAGGCCUUCGGGUUGUAAAGUACUUUCAGCGGGGAGGAAGGGAGUAAAGUUAAUACCUUUGCUCAUUGACGUUACCCGCAGAAGAAGCACCGGCUAACUCCGUGCCAGCAGCCGCGGUAAUACGGAGGGUGCAAGCGUUGUCCGGAAUUAUUGGGCGUAAAGGGCUUGUAGGCGGCUUGUUGCGCCUGCUGUGAAAACGCGGGGCUUAACUUCGCGCGUGCAGUGGGUACGGGCAGGCUUGAGUGUGGUAGGGGUGACUGGAAUUCCAGGUGUAGCGGUGGAAUGCGCAGAUAUCUGGAGGAACACCGAUGGCGAAGGCAGGUCACUGGGCCAUUACUGACGCUGAGGAGCGAAAGCAUGGGUAGCGAACAGG